CCUUACCUAUUACUAGCUUCACUUUCUCUGUCAGGACUCUGUCUUUGUUCACCAGUGGUCCCUUUUUUCCCUGUGACGGAGCAUGUUGUCAUUUUUUCUAAGGUGGAAAUGGAGUCCAUCACAGUUCUGAGUAACAUAAGUGUAUGGAAUUGAAACGACAUAAGGGUUGAUGAUGACAAGGUGAUGACACAAAGGAGCUUCCAUUGCCUUUAUUGCAACUAGGACUGACAAUAAUGUCUGCAAACCCUUCUCCAAAUAUUAAGUCUUAUUCUAUUACAACAUUGCCACCUGCCAGCAACCAAAUAUCUGUUUAAAAAUAUGUUGUCAAUUUUUGUAAAUAGAUCAUUUUGUCAAAAUAAAGAUUAAAAAAAUCUGCCACCACAUUUGUGUGUAUA